rnacentral:rRNA from 1 species
GAUGAACGCUGGCGGCGUGCCUAAUACAUGCAAGUCGGGCGAACGGACGAGAAGCUUGCUUCUCUGAUGUUAGCGGCGGACGGGUGAGUAACACGUGGCUAACCUACCUAUAAGACUGGGAUAACUUCGGGAAACCGUAGCUAAUACCGGAUAAUAUUUUGAACCGCAUGGUUCAAAAGUGAAAGACGGUCUUGCUGUCACUUAUAGAUGGAUCCGCGCUGCAUUAGCUAGUUGGUAAGGUAACGGCUUACCAAGGCAACGAUGCAUAGCCGACCUGAGAGGGUGAUCGGCCACACUGGAACUGAGACACGGUCCAGACUCCUACGGGAGGCAGCAGUAGGGAAUCUUCCGCAAUGGGUGAAAGCCUGACGGAGCAACGCCGCGUGAGUGAUGAAGGUCUUCGGAUCGUAAAACUCUGUUAUUAGGGAAGAACAUAUGUGUAAGUAACUGUGCACAUCUUGACGGUACCUAAUCAGAAAGCCACGGCUAACUACGUG